rnacentral:rRNA from 1 species
GCACGGGGGCAACCCUGGUGGCGAGUGGCGAACGGGUGAGUAAUGCAUCGGAACGUGCCCAGUAGUGGGGGAUAACUAGUCGAAAGAUUAGCUAAUACCGCAUACGACCUACGGGUGAAAGCGGGGGACCUUUACCGGCCUCGCGCUAUCGGAGCGGCCGAUGUCUGAUUAGCUAGUUGGCGGGGUAAGAGCCCACCAAGGCGACGAUCAGUAGCUGGUCUGAGAGGACGACCAGCCACACUGGGACUGAGACACGGCCCAGACUCCUACGGGAGGCAGCAGUGGGGAAUAUUGCACAAUGGGCGCAAGCCUGAUGCAGCGACGCCGCGUGAGGGAUGACGGCCUUCGGG